rnacentral:tRNA from 1 species
GGGUUUGUGGCUCAGUGAUAGAGCGCUCACCUCACAUGUGUGAGGUCCUGGGUUUGAUCCUCAGUACCA